CUGUGAAGCUGCAGACCUACUACUUUCUGUUUUUAUCUUUUUUCUUCUUCUUUAAGAAAUGAAACCAGGUCAGAUAAAUAAAUACUUAAAUUAUUCAGCACACAUUUCACUCGACUUUUUUCCUGGAAAUGUCUGCCCUGAAAUAGGAGUGACCCUAGCUGACUCCUCUCUCCUCCUUUCUCCUUACCCUGCAGCUCCUCCAUCUUUGAAUCACCAGCUUCUGAAGUGAAGAAAAGGAAAACAGCACAUGUAAGUCAAUUUCAGUUUAUUCCUCUCUUUCUCUCUUUCUCCCUCCGCACCCUACCUUUCCUCCCUCCAUUAACUUCAGUUUGUUCUUCUCAUCCUCUCCUUUUCAGUAUUCUCAUGCAUUCUUCUUUCAUCUUUAAUUUCUUUCCUUGUUUUCUGUAUUUUCUC